UACGCCUCAUAGAGCAGCAAAGGCCAGAUCAGGUAUGCAAAUCUUUAAGUCUGAUAACCCCAAAUCCUUAGUUACAGUAAUAGUAGAGGAAAUAAGAUAUGCCACUGAGAAGAUAGGGAAACAGAGCUCCACAGUGUGACUUCCUCAAGCAACACAAGACAUCUCAGGAAGAGAAACACAGCCUUGUCUGGAUGCUGCCAUUUCAGUCCACAUGCACAUGAGCUGUGAAGGAUGAGGAUCACAAGGAUGGCCAAUACACAUCUCCUAGGUGCUCCAACAACAUCACUGCAAACGUUUCCAGAAGAAAGGAAAGGACCUAGAAGAGGCUGACCUUUGAGCUUACAGCUCUUUGCCCAUUGUUCUGCCUUUUCAUCCCAUUGUGAUGUGAACAGAAGUCCCUGCAGAGCUCUGUGGCAAGAGAAAACAUGACCAUAACUGUGGCCAUGCAUGUUCAGAGAUCACAGAAUAAAAAGCUUUUCCCUGCAUGCAGUUGCUAGAGGUGUGACUGGUCCCUGAGAUCCAGCUUUCAGUGUACAUCAUUUGAUCCUACUUUUGACUCCCUUCUGCUCCACAGCAAAUCACUAGGAUUGCAGUGAUGUCUUCUAUGGAAAGGAGAGAUAAUGAAGUAGAAAGAGCAUGGCCAUUAAUCUUCUCAUUAAUCUUCCAGCAGAUGUUUCUGCAUUAUGACGUGAUACUUAUCUGCCUGCUUCUGUACUAAAGAAUGUACUAUGAAGCAAUUUCAUUCUGCAGUCACAUAUGAACACAAAAGGGAUGAGUACCUUCAUGCUGACUUUGAGCUCUCAUACUCGGAGAAUAUUUGUCCUCUCUCCCCACAGCUCCAUAUCAAAAAGUCCUGUUAUAAAAAGAACAUCUCCAGAAGAUAUGAUAUUCAUUUUGGGCAGAACUGGCGAUUUAACAUGCCUGAGGGUCUAUUAGAAAGUUAAGCCCCUUCU